GACAGAGGUGCCGAGCGUUAGGCGGAAUCACUGGGCUUAAAGCGUGUGUAGGCGGACUUCUAAGUACCUUGUGAAAUCCCACGGCUCAACCGUGGAACUGCUUGGUAUACUGGUUGUCUUGAGCCACUUAGGGGCAGUCGGAACAGACGGUGGAGCGGUGAAAUGCGUUGAGAUCGGAAGGAACGCCCGUGGCGAAAGCGAGGCCCUGGACCCUUACUGAGCUGAGACGCGAAAGCCAGGGGAGCGAACGGG
rnacentral:rRNA from 1 species